GACAAGGGACUAAGCAGGGACUGAGGUGGAUGAGUAGCAUUAGUGGUCACUUAUUCCUGGGGAUUUUCACCAUUUAUCAAGAAAUCAAUGUAGUUUGCGACCUCGGAGCAUGUUUGGCUUAGCUUGUGUUAAGGAAGAAGCAUAAAAUGAAAAACUUGUUCGUGUUUUUCUUGAUAGUGUGAGAAUUUGGGUACUUGGUUUAGGAAUGGCCAAGAGUCGAAUUGUAGUUUAACUUCUUUAUAGUGUAUCAAUGUGUUCUGUGUGAUUGAAAUGCUUGAACUUUU
rnacentral:lncRNA from 1 species